AUGGCACAGUCUGAUAAGGGGAUGCCUCAAGUUGGCAUGUUAUUUAAAAGUUCAGAGGAGGCUUGGCUAUUUUGGAGAGCAUAUGGUGGUCGUGCUGGCUUUGAUGUGAGGAAAAAGUACAACAAUGUGAGCAAAUUUGAUGGUAAGAUAACCUCUUGCAGAUUUGUUUGUGCCAAUGAAGGCCAUCGGAAAAAAGGGCAAAGGGAAUCCGUUCAGAAGUGCUUUAGAGCUGAAACAAGAACUGAUUGCAAAGCUCGGAUGAGUCUUACAUUGGAUCGAGAGUCCGAAAACUUGGAAGUCACUGAUGUAGUUCUUGAGCAUAAUCACCUCCUUCACUUGCCACAAACCCGCCACUUGAUGGCGUCCCAAAGGAAAAUUUCAGAAUUUCAAUCUUUUGAAAUCGAAGCAGCGGAUGAUUCUGGAGGAAAAACUCAAUGCACUAGUGACAUGAAUGAACCUAGUAAGGCCCAGGAAAAUGAUGACCCAAAUAUGCAGCAAGGAGAUGACUUGCUAAGAGCAGCACGACUGAAGAAAAAGGAGGUUCAAUCCAAAAAUUCAAAAAGAAAG
rnacentral:rRNA from 1 species